rnacentral:lncRNA from 1 species
UUGGAGGCACAUAGAGAAAGAGAUGCUACUAGCCUUGCCUCCCCCCCCCCGUUUGAAGUGGUGAGGAGGAAGGGAGGGAGGGAGCCCUAAAUAAUCAUUCCGCAGGGAGAAAGACAGGCAGCCGGGAGAGAUGGUGCCAAUCUCCACAGCCAGUAGCUUCCUAUCUGACAGAUGGAAUAAGCUUCCUUGUGGUGGACCAAAUAUGUUUGGAUAGACCAUUGCAGAUAACAAGCUCAGUUUUGGCAAGGAAGAAGCCACGGAGCUAUGUCUGUGCUGGCUGGGAGAGGUGAACAAUCUGUGAAAAUUUUGGAAUAUUGCAAUAAGGCCAAAGAAAAAUAUAUAUAAAGCAGAAAGAUUUAAUUAAAGGAGAAGAGAAAGAAUGGUAAGACAUCCACUAACUGAUUGCUUUGAAAAUACCUUUCAAAUGUGUUUUCAGUUGUAGGAUUGGAAAUAUU